GACGAACGCUGGCGGCGUGCUUAACACAUGCAAGUCGAACGCGUGGCGAACGGGUGAGUAACACGUGGGUGAUCUGCCUUGCACUUCGGGAUAAGCUUGGGAAACUGGGUCUAAUACCGGAUAGUGCAAGAUGAGCUCGCGGCCUAUCAGCUUGUUGGGGGGGUAAUGGCUACCAAGGCGCGCCGGGUGGCCGGCCUGAGAGGGUGUACGGAAACGUUGGGAGUGAAAGACGGCGCAGACUCCUACGGGAGGGAGCAGUGGGGGAUAGUGCGCAAUGGGCGAAAGCCUGAUGCAGGGACGCCGGGUGGGGGAUGAAGGCUUUAGGGUUGUAAACCUCGUACGCAAUCGAACGGGUAGGUGGAGAAGAAGCGCCGGCUAACUACGUGCCAGCAGCCGCGGUAAUAC
rnacentral:rRNA from 1 species